rnacentral:rRNA from 1 species
AGAUUGAACGCUGGCGGCAUGCCUUACACAUGCAAGUCGAACGGUAGAGUAGCAAUACUUGAGAGUGGCGAACGGGUGAGUAAUAUAUCGGAACGUGCCCAGUCGUGGGGGAUAACGUAGAGAAAUUUACGGCUAAUACCGCAUACGAUCUAAGGAUGAAAGCGGGGGACCGUAAGGCCUCGCGCGAUUGGAGCGGCUGAUAUCAGAUUAGGUUGUUGGUGAGGUAAAAGCUCACCAAGCCGACGAUCUGUAGCUGGUUUGAGAGAACGACCAGCCACACUGGGACUGAGACACGGCCCAGACUCCGUACGGGA